rnacentral:rRNA from 1 species
UACGUAGGGGGCAAGCGUUGUCCGGAUUCAUUGGGCGUAAAGAGCGUGUAGGCGGCCAGGUAGGUCGGUUGUGAAAACUGGAGGCUCAACCUUCAGAGGUCGACCGAAACCAUCUGGCUAGAGUCCGGGAGAGGAGAGUGGAAUUCCUGGUGUAGCGGUGAAAUGCGUAGAUAUCUGGAGGAACACCGGUGGCGAAGGCGGCAUCCUGGACCAAUACUGACGCUGAGGAGCGAAAGCCAGGGGAGCAAACGGG